AUGUUAAUCGGGGGGGAUUUUAAUAUCCUUCGAUAUCGGCAGGAAAAAAACAAUGAUCGGUUUGACACUAGGUGGCCCUUCCUCUUUAAUGCUGUUAUUGACAGCCUCGAUCUGAGGGAGAUCACGAUGUCUGGUCGUCAGUAUACCUGGGCCAAUAACCGAUCGGUGCCAACCUUCGAAAAUCUGGACCGGGUGCUAGUUACUACUGACUGGGAUAUAAAUAUCCCCUAG
rnacentral:rRNA from 1 species